UACGAAGGGGGCUAGCGUUGCUCGGAAUCACUGGGCGUAAAGGGUGCGUAGGCGGGUUUUUAAGUCAGAGGUGAAAUCCUGGAGCUCAACUCCAGAACUGCCUUUGAUACUGAGAAUCUUGAGUACGGGAGAGGUGAGUGGAACUGCGAGUGUAGAGGUGAAAUUCGUAGAUAUUCGCAAGAACACCAGUGGCGAAGGCGGCUCACUGGCCCGUUACUGACGCUGAGGCGCGAAAGCGUGGGGAGCAAACAGG
rnacentral:rRNA from 1 species